rnacentral:rRNA from 1 species
AUGCCAGACUCCUACGGGAGGCAGCAGUGGGGAAUAUUGCACAAUGGGGGAAACCCUGAUGCAGCGACGCCGCGUGAGUGAAGAAGUAUUUCGGUAUGUAAAGCUCUAUCAGCAGGGAAGAAAAUGACGGUACCUGAUUAAGAAGCUCCGGCUAAAUACGUGCCAGCAGCCGCGGUAAUACGUAUGGAGCAAGCGUUAUCCGGAUUUACUGGGUGUAAAGGGAGCGCAGGCGGCGCGCCAAGUCUGGUGUGAAACCCCGGGGCUCAACCCCGGGACUGCAUUGGAAACUGGCGUGCUGGAGUGUCGGAGGGGCAGGCGGAAUUCCUGGUGUAGCGGUGAAAUGCGUAGAUAUCGCGCAGAACUCCGAUUGCGAAGGCAGCAUGCCGGCUCCACACUGACGCUGAGGCACGAAAGCGUGGGUAUCGAACAGGAUUAGAUACCCGCGUAGG